AGGUGUUGAUGAUGAUGAUGAUGAUGAUGAUGAUGAUGAUGAUGAUGAUAAUGGUGAUGCAUCGUCAAUCAUCAUCACAUCAACAUCAUCAACCAUC
rnacentral:pre_miRNA from 1 species